UGGGGAAUAUUGCACAAUGGGCGCAAGCCUGAUGCAGCAAUGCCGCGUGAGUGAUGAAGGCCUUAGGGUUGUAAAGCUCUUUCGCACGCGACGAUGAUGACGGUAGCGUGAGAAGAAGCCCCGGCUAACUUCGUGCCAGCAGCCGCGGUAAUACGAAGGGGGCUAGCGUUGUUCGGAAUUACUGGGCGUAAAGGGCGCGUAGGCGGCCUGUUUAGUCAGAAGUGAAAGCCCCGGGCUCAACCUGGGAAUAGCUUUUGAUACUGGCAGGCUUGAGUUCCGGAGAGGAUGGUGGAAUUCCCAGUGUAGAGGUGAAAUUCGUAGAUAUUGGGAAGAACACCGGUGGCGAAGGCGGCCAUCUGGACGGACACUGACGCUGAGGCGCGAAAGCGUGGGGAGCAAACAGGAUUAGAUACCCUGUAGUCCACGCCGUAAACGAUGAAUGCUAGACGUCGGGGUGCAUGUACUUCGGUGUCGCCGCUAACGCAUUAAGCAUUCCGCCUGGGGAGUACGGCCGCAAGGUUAAAACUCAAAGGAAUUGACGGGGUCAUAGCUGUUUCCU
rnacentral:rRNA from 1 species